AAAAGAAACUAACAAGGAUUCCCCUAGUAACGGCGAGUGAACCGGGAAGAGCUCAAAUUUGAAAUCUGGCGUCCUCAGGGCGUCCGAGUUGUAAUCUAUAGAGGCGUUUUCCGUGCCGGACCGUGUCCAAGUUCCUUGGAACAGGAUAUCAAAGAGGGUGACAAUCCCGUACUUGACACGACGACCGGUGCUCUGUGAUACGUCUUCUACGAGUCGAGUUGUUUGGGAAUGCAGCUCAAAAUGGGUGGUGAGUUCCAUCUAAAGCUAAAUAUUGGCGAGAGACCGAUAGCGAACAAGUACCGUGAGGGAAAGAUGAAAAGCACUUUGGAAAGAGAGUUAAACAGUACGUGAAAUUGUUGAAAGGGAAACGAUUGAAGUCAGUCGUGACCGAGAGGCUCAGCCGGUUCUGCCGGUGUAUUCCCCUCGGUCGGGUCAACAUCAGUUUUGUCCGGUGGAUAAGGGCGGUAGGAAGGUGGCACCCUCGGGUGUGUUAUAGCCUGCCGUCGCAUACAUCGGGUGAGACUGAGGAACGCAGCUCGCCUUUAUGGCCGGGGUUCGCCCACGUCCGAGCUUAGGAUGUUGACAUAAUGGCUUUAAACGACCCGUCUUGAA
rnacentral:rRNA from 1 species